GACGAACGCUGGCGGCGCGCCUAACACAUGCAAGUCGAACGAGAGAGAGGGAGCUUGCUUCCUUGAUCGAGUGGCGAACGGGUGAGUAACGCGUGAGGAACCUGCCUCAAAGAGGGGGACAACAGUUGGAAACGACUGCUAAUACCGCAUAAGCCCACGGCUCGGCAUCGAGCAGAGGGAAAAGGAGCAAUCCGCUUUGAGAUGGCCUCGCGUCCGAUUAGCUAGUUGGUGAGGUAACGGCCCACCAAGGCGACGAUCGGUAGCCGGACUGAGAGGUUGAACGGCCACAUUGGGACUGAGACACGGCCCAGACUCCUACGGGAGGCAGCAGUGGGGAAUAUUGCACAAUGGGGGAAACCCUGAUGCAGCGACGCCGCGUGGAGGAAGAAGGUCUUCGGAUUGUAAACUCCUGUUGU
rnacentral:rRNA from 1 species